rnacentral:hammerhead_ribozyme from 1 species
AUCCGGCUGACAAGUUCCAAAUAGGAUGAAACGUGCGUCCUGGAC